rnacentral:rRNA from 1 species
UACGUAGGGGGCUAGCGUUGUCCGGAAUCAUUGGGCGUAAAGCGCGCGUAGGCGGCCCGGUAAGUCCGCUGUAAAAGUCAAAGGCUCAACCUUUGAAUGUCAGUGGAUACUGCCGGGCUAGAGUCCGGAAGAGGCGAGUGGAACUCCUGGUGUAGCGGUGGAAUGCGCAGAUAUCAGGAAGAACACCAACGGCGAAGGCAGCUCGCUGGGACGGUACUGACGCUGAGACGCGAAAGCGUGGGGAGCGAACGGG